ensembl:antisense Gm16217 predicted gene 16217
GACUUUUAUCUGCACUGUUUCAACAGCAGGUAGCCAGCCGUCUUUUUACUGCCUGCCUCUGGCUGAAGCUCGGCCCACACUAUCAGGACUCAGCCCUGUAGGGAUGACUCUGCCACACAGCUACAGCACCAGCUGGCACAAAUGGCUUUCUCUCCAACUUCCUCAGGCUUCCCUGAGUCACUGCCCAGCCCUAGGACUGGCAACACCCUGGCCCUGCUCACCCAUCCACCCUUGGCAAGAGGGAAAGAGGAAGAAGCCUGCAGAGAGCUGGUGCCCUGCUUCCAGAUGCUGCUCCAUUCUCAGGCCAAGCCUCAAGAUGGGGGGAACCUGAGUGGGAGCCUCUCUCCUGGCUUGCGUUCCCUCCCACUUCUGGGAAAGCAGGGCAGUGACAGUCCCUGUUCUCAUGUGUCUGCCCUUGGCUGGGCUCCCCUCACCUCCCCAAAGACCAGGCAGGGUCCCAUUCAGCAGACCUGACUGUAAGGAAUUGGCAAGAAAUGACGUCCCUAGCCAGCCUGGCCUCCCCUUUGGUAUUUUUGCAGCUGGAGAUUAUUAGUCUCAAGCAAAACUCCUUUGUUAUCCAAGCCCACUCCACCACAUUAUUUUCCUCUCUCCUAAA